AGGGAUCGGUGAAUUUUAACUUUGGAGUCCUCUAUGCUAAGGAUGCUCAGCCUGCAGAUGAUGAAAUGUUCAGUAAUGUAUUUGCUGCAGCUCUGCUUACCCAAGCUUUGGGUUCCUUCUGUCCCACAGGGAGUUGCCCUGUUUGGUUGCAUCUGGUGAAAUUCACCCUGAGACCUUACAGAAGUAGCUCAAACUACGUGAGAGCCAUUUGCAGUUCCCUCCACACACCUGGAGAAUGGGUGACGUUUCUGAGGAUGUGGCAACUGUACUUCUGUCAAAACUCAGUCUGUGAAAUUUCUGGGGAAAACUCUUCGGUGACCUGAAGGGUUCAAACUCUGGUGAGAAUCCAGUUAUCAGGUGCUCACCUGGAUGGUUCCAGCUCUUAAAGUGAACACUUGUACUCUUGCCCUGUAGUUUACAUCCAUUGUAUUUUUGUUAUUUUGCAAGAUUUUAUGUCUUUGCAAAAUAUCGUGCAUUUCGCUCUUUGGAACCUCUCAGAUUGUUCUUUGGUGUAGCACCACCUCACGGGACACUUGGCUGCCGUCCUGAAGGGGAUGGUCGCUAGAAUUGUAAAUUCUGGAGAGUUUGUAAGUCUUCUGUCCCCAGGGAGCUAUCAUGCUUUGUUUACUUUUGUUCUGUUGGUUAGGCGCUGCUUCUCAUUGCAAGUAUGAAUUUCAAACUACCCUGUUCUCUUUUUAACUGUUUUCCUGGUUCUCUCCGUACGGCAGGGAAAGACUCUCGUAUCCUUGUCUUCAGGCUCGGUGCUGUCCACGAAGAUACGGAGACUAAAAAAAUCAUAAGAAGCAAAAUAUGACUGCAGGGAAAACAAGCUGGAGAGAACAAAAGACUCAUCACGGCGGGACAGCGUGGAGACUGAAAGUGUGAGAAGAUGUGGAGGGGAAGAGAGAAUCUGACGGGAGCAGCGAACGCACGAGUGCACGAAUUUUGCUUUUUGCUUGGAUGUAAACUCAGGAGUUGAAAGGAAUUUGGGAGUGAGAAGGGACAUUUCAGAAGGUGAAGAAGAAAAAGAGGUUGUUGUUGUUGUUACAGUCCUGGCAAAAUCUUUUGUUCUAGCUAAUAAAAGAAGUUAGUUUAAGAAAUAAAAAGAAAAAAAUGUAGUGUUUUUUUUUUUACUUGACUAUUAUAUUCAUUGGUGGUAUAUGGUGUGUUGUUUUAUUUCUUGGUAUUAUUAACUCUGUGUAAAUUGUUUUUUGAGUGUAGCUGACUUUCUGGAUGGGUUGGUUUGUAUUUGAGGCAGCAUUAAUUUCAAUAGGAUUCUUUCAUAGAUUUCUGAUGGG